rnacentral:rRNA from 1 species
UACGGAAGGCAGCAGUGGGGAAUAUUGCACAAUGGGCGCAAGCCUGAUGCAGCCAUGCCGCGUGUAUGAAGAAGGCCUUCGGGUUGUAAAGUACUUUCAGUCGUGAGGAAGGUGUUAAGGUUAAUAACCUUAGCAAUUGACGUUAGCGACAGAAGAAGCACCGGCUAACUCCGUGCCAGCAGCCGCGGUAAUACGGAGGGUGCGAGCGUUAAUCGGAAUUACUGGGCGUAAAGGGCACGCAGGCGGUUAAUAAGUUGGAUGUGAAAUCCCCGGGCUUAACCUGGGAAUGGCAUUCAAGACUGGUUAGCUAGAGUCUUGUAGAGGGGGUAGAAUUCCAUGUGUAGCGGUGAAAUGCGUAGAGAUGUGGAGGAAUACCGGUGGCGAAGGCGGCCCCUGGGACAAGACUGACGCUCAUGUGCGAAAGCGUGGGGAGCAAACAGGAUUAGAUACC